GGUACUGCGGAGGUCAUUAACGAGUAACUGAACGGGUUGUAGCUGGCCUCUCGGGGCAUGUGCACACCUGGCUCAUCCACUCUUCAACCUCUGUGCACUUGUUGUAGGUCGGCAGAAGGGCGAGCCUUAAAACAGCUCGCUUGGAAGCCUUCCUAUGUUUUAUUACAAACGCUUCAGUUUAAGAAUGUAACCUGCGUAUAACGCAACUAUAUACAACUUUCAGCAACGGAUCUCUUGGCUCUCGCAUCGAUGAAGAACGCAGCGAAAUGCGAUAAGUAAUGUGAAUUGCAGAAUUCAGUGAAUCAUCGAAUCUUUGAACGCACCUUGCGCUCCCUGGUAUUCCGGGGAGCAUGCCUGUUUGAGUGUCAUGGUAUCCUCAUCCUUCAUAACUUUUUGUUAUCGAAGGCAUGGACUUGGAGGUCGUGCUGGUUCCUCGUUGAAUCGGCUCCUCUUAAAUGUAUUAGCGUGAGUGUAACGGAUCGCUUCGGUGUGAUAAUUAUCUGCGCCGUGGUCGUGAAGGAACAUAAGCUUGCGCUUCUAACCGUCCUUAAGUUGGACAACUUACUUUGACAUCUGACCUCAAAUCAGGUAGGACUACCCGCUGAACUUAAGCAUAUCAAAAACGGGGAAGAAAA
rnacentral:rRNA from 1 species